rnacentral:rRNA from 1 species
AGAGUUUGAUCCUGGCUCACGACGAACGCUGGCGGUGUGCUUCACACAUGCAAGUCGAGCGAAUGAAGAAGGUAGCUUGCUACUUUUGGAUUUAGCGGCGGACGGGUGAGUAAUAUAUAGGAAUCUGCCCUAGAGCGGGGAACAACAGACCGAAAGGUUUGCUAAUGCCCCAUAGGUACGCAGUCUUCGGAUUGUUUAUUAAAGGAGUAAUCCACUCUAGGAUGAGCCUGUAUCCGAUUAGCUAGUUGGCGGGGUAAAGGCCCACCAAGGCUACGAUCGGUAGUUGGUCUGAGAGGAUGAUCAGCCACAAUGGGACUGAGACACGGCCCAUACUCCUACGGGAGGCAGCAGUGGGGAAUUUUACACAAUGGGGGAAACCCUGAUGUAGCGACACCGCGUGAACGAAGAAGCCUUUUGGGGUGUAAAGUUCUGUCGGCUGGAACGAAAAAAAUGACGGUACCAGCAAAGGAAGCAUCAGCUAACUACGUGCCAGCAGCCGCGGUAAGACGUAGGAUGCAAGCGUUGUCCGGAUUUAUUGGGCGUAAAGAGUUCGUAGGCGGUUAUUUAAGUCUGGUGUUAAAUACUGUGGCCCAACCACAGAACUGCAUUGGAUACUGGAUGACUUGAGUGCGGUAGAGGCGAGUGGAAUUCCCAGUGUAGCGGUGAAAUGCGUAGA